CUGAGCAGCACCCUUACGAAAGUUAAAUUUGAAAUCUUUAUUUUAGAUGUUACUACAGUAAAAAUGUUGUGCAGGGAAAAACAAAGUUUCAAAUCAGUCUCUGAUCUGGGAGCUUGUGAAAAUAACAGUGGGAGGUGAUAGAGGAAGCAGCAGCAGAAGAGAAAUGGUGAAGAGAGUGGAAACGUGGAAAGUAUGAGCAAGAUGGGCAGAGAAAUGACCAUCAGAACAGAUUCCUGCUGGGUCAGUCCUUCCUGAAAACCACUCGAUGGUGAACAAAGAAGCCUCGGGCAGAUGUGCAGAAGAACAUGUGAAGGGUGAGCAAUGCCCCACCAGAGAAGACAGAAGAAAUUCCAUCUCCUGCUGCUUCCUCCCCCGCUUCCUGAGCCCCCUCCUGCCCCUGUAACAACCACCACUUUUCCUACCUUCUUUCAUAAAGCAGCAAAUUGCCCCUGUGGGCCUAGACAUUAUGUUUGGGGAAAACUGAAUUAACACCAAGAAGCUCUCCAAGAUAUCUGUGAAUAAAUGAUAAAUACAACUCGAA